UUGUGGUAGCUCAGUGGUUAUGAUGUUGGACUACUGAUUGGAAGGUCAUGAGUUCAAUCCUCCGCACCACUAA